rnacentral:rRNA from 1 species
UGGGGAAUUUUGGACAAUGGGCGAAAGCCUGAUCCAGCAAUGCCGCGUGUGUGAAGAAGGCCUUCGGGUUGUAAAGCACUUUUGUCCGGAAAGAAAUCCUUGGCUCUAAUACAGUCGGGGGAUGACGGUACCGGAAGAAUAAGCACCGGCUAACUACGUGCCAGCAGCCGCGGUAAUACGUAGGGUGCAAGCGUUAAUCGGAAUUACUGGGGCGUAAAGCGUGCGCAGGCGGUUUGCUAAGACCGAUGUGAAAUCCCCGGGCUCAACCUGGGAACUGCAUUGGUGACUGGCAGGCUAGAGUAUGGCAGAGGGGGGUAGAAUUCCACGUGUAGCAGUGAAAUGCGUAGAGAUGUGGAGGAAUACCGAUGGCGAAGGCAGCCCCCUGGGCCAAUACUGACGCUCAUGCACGAAAGCGUGGGGAGCAAACAGGAUUAGAUACCCGUGGUAGUCCACGCCCUAAACGAUGUCAACUAGUUGUUGGGGGACUUCAUUUUCCUUUAGUAACGUAGCUAACGCGUGAAGUUGACCGCCUGGGGAGUACGGUCGCAAGAUU